AAUCUCUAUACCCAAUGUGGGGCAGAAACUCACAACCCUGAGUUGUGAGAUCAAGUAUCAUAUGCUCUACUGACUGAGCCAGCCCAGCACCCCAAGAAAGCUUUAGUAACACAUAGGUUCCGUCUUUAUCAAACUGAGAAAUGAAUUGACUGUCAAAGUUAAUCCAUCGGCUCUUACAAACCAGCCAAACAAGUUAGGGUGAAUCCUGCACACUCAUGCCUUCCUCUGAUUCAGACAUACUUGUUAGUGAGGCGGAGGUUGCAAUGAGCUGACUCCCGGCACUACUGAUAUCCUUUAGCUAUGGACUCUGGGACUGAGAGACACUAACAAGCUUGGUUCAGACAGGACUUUGUGCUACAAAAACAACUUAAUCCCAUAUCUACUAUAUAUAUGCCGAGCAACAACAAAUCCUGACUUAAUUGACAAUGCUAACCCCUUUUGGUGCAUUCACAGCAAACGGGAAGGCCAUCUCCAAACUGCUUGAAGUAUGGUAGUUGGAUCCAUUCUGCUCAAGUCAGGAGGAAGCCGCAAAAUUUCAAAAUGCCAUUGCAACCAAACGACAAGUGCAUCAGCCAAACACAAACUGAAUUGUCAUCUCUCCAUAAGCUGUUCUAUGAUAAACUUUUUUAAAGGGAGAAAUACAUAAAACACGUAUAUAUGCAUACACAUGCACAUGCACACAUAUUGAAAUAUUUGGGGAGAAGGAAGACUGCCAAACAUUUAACAACAUUGCUGUGGACCUAUUACUUUUCUGAAGAAAAGUGUACUGAAAGUUGAGGAAAUCGGGAGAGAAAACUUCAUGUAAGUUAAAGAAGUAAACCUGGACAUAGAUUAAAGUUAAUCAAUCUUCGCCUUCAAAGUUCUAGAAAAUGUUUAAGUUGAAAUUACUAAGAGGUGAAGUAAAGAGGUUCUCCUGCCCCUCAUCCCCCAGGACAGCACUGUAGUUGAACAAGUGGUUUGUGUCGCUCGUUGUGUGAGAGAGAAAGCACACGGCGGGGAGGGGUGUCUUACUAACACAUAUAUGUUUCUAUCUCCUUACCCCUAUGACCUCCUUACCCCAUGACCUAAUCCUUUUCAAAAGGAUUAGGCUGUUUUGUUGUAGCAUAUAUCAAAAUAUGUUUCCAGAUAGCCCAUGCUAUAUGGUAGAAAUGUAGAAAUGUCUAUGUAGAAAUGUUUACAAAGCAUGGGCUAAUUGGAAUUUUUUUUUUUAUUUUACAGAAACAUAUUUUUUAAAAAUUACAUACCUAAGAUGUUAUCCUCAAAUUAUCUGUAGUAAUUAACAUUUAAUAGCAUCCUGAUUUCAAACAACAACAAAUUCCAAAUAUAUUUGCUUUUAAAUUUUUGAGAUUGUCUAUUAAGCCAUAACUUAAAUGAUCAUUACUGGAGCUAUAAUAGCCCCUCCCCAUUGGAGCUGUCCUGCUUUUAGUUAAAUGGGUCUUUAUAGUCCCACGUAAUCAGUCAUUGAAUGUGGGCAGGGUCUAGAAAGGUGUGACCUUGGGGGAGGAGACUCCCCAGCCGAGGCAAAUGCUGAAGGAUCCUGAACUACACUCUGCAGGACUCUGAUAGCCGGGGCGGUGAAGGAAGGUCUGGGGGCCUAGCUCAUGUGCGCUGCAGCCUACUCCGGUUCUGCCAGGAUCAACUUCUCCACCUAUGCACAGGAAGCAGCUCUUCCAGGAUCUUAGGGGUCUCUCUUCUGGAGCGAUGUGAGAGAGGAAAUUAAGUGGGAGGAACUAUAGUCUCUGUACCGCAAAUGAUCUUGGAAUUUCAAGUGAUGUGCAUUGUCUCCCUUCUCCAUUACCCCUGUAGAUCUCCCUUCUCUUUAGUCAGCAGCUCUGCUUGACCUUGGGGCUUCCUGGUGACAUGGUCCAGAAGCUUGUCCUUGAAGAGCCUAAAGCCCUGAUCACUGUGACCUUCUCAAGUCAGGAUGGCUACACUUGUCGAUUUACUGUCCAAACUGUCCAAAGAGUGCCAGGAGUUACCUAAGUGCGUCACCUGAAUUUGAUCUGCUGGUAUGGGGUCCACGUAAUUCCAUGUCCAAUCAGAGGACACACUUUCCUCGGAGGAGAAGAAUGAGUCAGCCCCUGACUGCGAGUUCUACUAGUACUUAACACAGGGCCUGGCACCCAGAAAGCUGCCAUCGCCCUCAGCGAUGUGCAAGGCAGGAAAAGGAGUUUACUGUGCAGAUGAAAUGACAGUGAGUGGGCGCGUGCGUGCGUGUGCGUGUGUGUGUUUCAUUUGAGCCUCAAGCAUGCUGGAGGGUCAAUAAAUAUGAAUUGAAUGAGCUGUAAUUAUGCGUG
rnacentral:lncRNA from 1 species